AGAGUGCAAAAUCCCAUUCUUACUUGAUUACUUAUAAUCAACGUUUGGAAGACGGCGUUGAAUAGCCGACCCUGUUACAACUAUGAAUGUUCAACCCAGUAUAGCCUUGCAAUUUUGAACCCAACCCAGAAGGCGAGGGAAAUCCUGGAUCAAACAUUAGGAGAAACUAGCCUUCAUGGAGGACUUCUUGUUGGAACAUGGAGAGAAAAACCACGAAAAUUUCCCAUGCUUACCCCGAUAGCAAAAAAGACUCUAAACCACGAUCCGUCUACCACUAGAGAUAUUUUAUGUCAACACUGUGGUCGGUGCAAGCUGGGUGCAGAAUUCAUAUUGAUUAGACAUCACUAGGAUUCAACCCUGGGUCACCUGAUUGGGAGGUGAGCACUGUAUUCCAUGAGCCACCAUGAUCCAAAUAAUGAACUUUUUAAAAAAAACAGAUCAAAAACACUUUUCAUUCAAAACUGUUGCAGCUUUCCUGCAAAUAAACAUUUUGCAUAUUUUUGUAUUUAGUUUAGAGGGUGCAGAUUAAAGAUGGACGAAACCUAACCUAACAGUCACCAAUAAUCGAAGCUAACUCUAGCAAAGAACAAUGGUUUGGUGUUCUGCAGCAAAUAUUGGAUCAGUCUGAAAUGCAAUUUUCAUUGUGGGUAAGAGUAGAAAUUAUGCAUAUUUUGUGCAGUUUGUCGUAUAAUUUUGGAACAAUAAACGCAUGCACUACUAAUUAUUAUAACUAGAAAAAACCCAGUUUUUCGAUGAUACAAUGAUACAAAUUUAACUAAAUUAUCUAUAUUGUACCUUUGUAGCUUGAAAUAUGAAAGUUACUUUUUUGCAGAAAUUCUAAAGCCAUUUCGGAAAAUUGCAUGUUUUGUAACGAACAGAUGAGCUAGUUUUUUUUCCCAUGAAAUCCUCAUUGCGAAACCUUUAUGAGCAUAUUAGCUACAGUAAAGUCUUGGUAUAGGUUUAGUGCAGAAAUGCUUACUUUUGGGGGAGGGGCAGAUUAAAAUAGCUUUCACUCAGAAGAUUAAAUUCAAGUACUUUAAUUUUGCGAGUAUUCUUUAGCUAUAACAUUUAUGCGAUAGAGUGUACGAUCUUUUGACGAAAUUUUCGUAUCAGUCUAG